rnacentral:lncRNA from 1 species
CCGGUCUCUUAAUAAUCGGGCCUUCGAUUUUGCUCAUGUUAGGAUGAGGUUCUCCUCCUGUUCCUAACAUGGCUGUGGGGGCGCAUAAGGGCCGUUGCAAGGGCCUCUCCCCCCAUCCGAUCUCUUAAUAAUCGGAUCUUCGAUUUUGCUCAUGUUAGGACGAGGUUCUCCUCCUGUUCCUAACAUGGCUGUGGGGGUGCAUAAGGGCCGUUGC